rnacentral:rRNA from 1 species
AUGAGUAAAAUGUGUCAUGCAGUUGAAUCAGAAGAGGCAACCAUGGAUGGGGAAAAUAACCUCCUUACCUGUAGUGAUUCUUGCUGGUACAAGUGUAGCCAUGGUAUUGAUUCAUCAGGGACAAAUGGUGAGAUGGAAUGGCUGAGCAUGCAGACAAGCUCUUGUGGCACUCCUUACAGCACUCCUUACGGCUCUCCCCGUUUUAGCAGAGGAAGUUCUUCUUCCAGCUUUGCUAGUUGCUUUUCAAGCUUUGGUGGCUCCCUCAUGGAUACUGACUCUGAAGAGGAAAUUGAGCUCCUAGAUACCGGCCAACUUCAUCCUGAUAUCUUUGUCAGUGAUGAAUUUAUGGAGCAAGGAGAAGAGAAUCUAGUAAAAGAGGAAGAAUGUGAACCCAGUCAUACUACUGUAUUCAAUGGUGGUGCUAAUAUUCCCAUCCCGGCUGACCAAAAUAUUCUAUCUAGUCAAACGCAGCUGGAGACUGAUCAAGGUGCCACCAAGGAAAAUUUUGAUGCCGGUAAUGUCAUCUUGGACACAAAUGUAUCUUCGGAACCUGAUCGAGAUAUCCUGACCAAUGAUCAACUUACAGGAACACAAUAUGGUGAGGAGGUUACUAGCCUUCCCAUGCCAGGAGGUGAAAUAGUUCCGUUGAAUGAGCAAGUUAUGGAUCAGGUUGACAGUAAUAAGGAAAAUACUAUAGUUUACAACAACAUAUUGAAUGCUGAGUCAGGCAUGAAAGCAGAUGCUGACUCUGAGAAUGGAAUUGACUGCCUUUAUCCACUAGUUUUGCCCAGUUUUGAGACAGACCCUCUCAUUUGGUUACCACCAGACCCAGCAAAUAAGGAGGAGGAUGUUGAUACUCUUGCUAAUCCCGAUGAUGAUAGUGACAAUGAUACUAAGUGGGGUCAGUCAAGUUUGAAUCUUAGCUUUGACGAGGAAGGAAGCAAUAAUAGCCGUGAAGAUCAAUUGCAGAAAGCAAUGUCAGAAGUUAUGAAUGGGCAAUUCAAGAUCCUUGUUAGUCGUUUUUUGGCUGCUGAAGGAUUCUCCUUGUCUGAUGGAGCAACCGACAAUAUCUGGCUUGAUAUUGUUGCUUCGUUAUCGUGGCGUGCUGCCUUACUCGUCAAGCCUGAUGACAAUAUGGGAAAUGCAAUGGAUCCAGGGUUGUAUGUAAAGGUGAAAUGCAUAGCUUCAGGAUCUUGCCAGCAGAGUGAAGUGAUCAACGGUCUUGUUUUUAAGAAGACUGCCGCACAUAAGCAGAUGCGUGCCAACAUUAAGCAUCCUAAACUGUUGAUUCUUAAGGGUGACAUUGGUCAAUUUUCCACCGGGCUAUCAUCAAUGAAUUCAAUGAAACAGGAAAGCGAGCAGUUGGAGAAAACUCUCAGCGAUAUGAUAGGCAAAUGCCGGCCGGAUGUUAUAUUGGUGGAGAAAGCGGUUUCACGAAAUGUAAAUGAAUAUGUUCAGAAACAAGGAGUUACCUUGGUUAGUGACAUGAAUAUCCAUCGCCUGGAAAGAAUCGCUCUUUGUACUGGUUCUCCAAUCAUCUCAUUGCAGGAUGUUCGUACGAAAACUAACCUUAUUAAGCAGUGUGAAUCUGUCAAUUUCAAAAAAAUUGUUGAGGAGCAUAAUCUAACUGUAGAAGAUGGAAGGAGGUCACCCAAAACAUUUUUAUUUCUAGAAGGUUUUCCGAAACCUAUGGGAUGCACAAUAUUGCUAAAAGGAUCAACAAGUGAAACAUUGAAGAAGAUUAAGCGUGUUCUCCAUUUCACUGUCUUUGCAGCUUACCAUUUGAUCCUUGAAACAUCAUUUUUCACCGACCAAAGAUCAUUUAUAACCGAAAAAAAUGCUUCCCGUAAAGAGGACUGUUUAAAAAUCGAUUCACAGCUACAUUUUCCUGGUAGCACUUGUGAUGAGCAGUAUGCUAAUAUGGAGGAGUUAGCCGACACUAAAAACUCCAUGUCGCAGCAUCUUCAUGAUUCCGAAAUUAAGAAUUCCAGAGAUUCCGACAGCCAAUGUAUUCAGUCUAAUUCAUCGCGGACUGAUCCAGAUCCCUCGACAGAUAUUAUUGGGGACAUCUCAUAUAUCAGCUCUGCUGAGUCAACUUCAGGUGAUGGGUUUGAUGGGUCAAAUAUUGCUGCUGCUCCAGAAAAAUUAAAUACGCAUAAAAAAGAAGCAUCUGGCAAGAAAUUUAAAGAAACUUUUGAUGAUGGAACGCACACGGGGACUAGCACUUCUCUAAAUCCUCAGACCAUACUAAUUUCGAUGUCCAGCCAAAACAUCAGGAAUAAAGCAGUUUGUGAGCAGAGUCAUCUUUCCAGGAUAACUUAUUAUGGGAAUUGUGACACAUCUCUUGGGAUGCAUUUGCAAGAUACUUUACUUAAUGAGAAGCACAAUUGCUUAUCAUGUGGUGAGCCUCCAGAAGCUCACAUGUACUCUUACACCCACCAUGAUGGUACCCUCACUGUUCUUGUGAAAAGCCUUCCAUUGGAGGAAGCACUUUCUGGUGAGGGUCAAAGAAGAAUUUGGAUGUGGACCAGGUGCUUGAGAUGCAGUGGUAUGCCCACACCGAGGGUUAUAAUAUCUUCCUCUGCACGCAACCUCUCGUUUGCGAAGUUUUUGGAACUCAGUUUCUCAACACAUUCUUCUGCUAAGAAGCUGUCAACAUGUGGGCAUUUGCUGCACAGGGACUGCCUACGUUUCUUUGGAUUGGGAUCCAAAGUUUCUGUGUUCAGAUACUCAUCUAUUGAAAUAUAUUCCGCUACUAAGCCACCAAUGACUUUGCAGUUCCAUAACCCAAACAGAAAAGAUUGGCUCGAUGUUGAAGUCCUUGCUGAAUGGAAGCUACUCUUCUCUGAAAUUGAAAACACUAUACAAGGCUUGAAAUCAAGAUACUCUGGUGAAGCCAUGGGGAAGAACACAAACAGUUCAGCAUAUGAGGGAAUAUUUUUGGAAGUCGGUAGUAUGCUUGCACAAGAAAGGAACGUACUUGAGGUUUCUCUGAAGGCAUUUGACCACAUUGCAAGGCCUGAGACUUGUGCUCACGAGAUCCUUAGCUUGAACUGGCUGUAUCAGCAACUUCUUCUUGGAUUCUAUGUUUGGGAUGUCCGUUUGUAUCAUCUUCUUCAGUACAUUAAACUUGAUGGCGCAUCUUCAGACAAUUCUAACCACAAAAGCAUAUCGGAGAAUGAGCUGAGUUCUAAAAAUAUUUCCGUACCCAUACAUGGGGACACACUAUCUGUCCUGAAUAUUGGAGUGGAAAGACUGGAAGCAACUAUAAAUUCUUCUGACGAUGUUGACAAUUCUCGUGGUGGCAUAAUUUCAGAGAAGGAUCAGCUUACUGAGAAAUCACCAAUUAAAGAGCUUGGGUCUUCUCCAGGUGAGGUUGAUGAAAAUGGGUCACAUCAAAAUGUGUUACCAGUUAAGAAUGAUGAACACCCUGCACCAGCCAGAGGCAAUGAAAUUUACCCUAUUGCCAUGCCAAGUAAACAUUUGCCUGUAUUGCAAAACUUGUUGGAUUUCAUGAGUGAUGACACAAGAGAAUGGGUCUGGAAUAAGUUGAGUCACUUGGAAAUGGGAUACAAGAAAGAAAUUGAAACUGGCGAUUUGAAUAAGUUCCAUCUCAUCAACAAAUACACCCCGACUUCUUCAUCACUGACACAACUCAAAUGUCAAAUGAAUUUGAUGCAUUUUGUAGCUGGCCCCUGUGGUAAUAUUUUGUCAAUUGUUGAGGAAGAGAUAUCUAGCAUCAUUGCUUAUGCACUGGCUAUAUCUGAAGACCAAGGAAUUUAUUCUGAAGCUGCAUUUGAAAAGGAUGAACUUUUAUCUAGAAGAAAGCUUGAUAAGGUUGCACCUAGCAACUUGGCCAGAGGUACCUCUAUGCCGUCAUCAGUUAUCUCUUCGAAGGAGUCUUUAGAAAAGGAUCAUAGCCUAUUAAACAACACAUCGUCAUUAUCAUAUGAGGAAUCAACAUCUGGAUUUUAUGAUUCAUUUCUGUCAGCAUUAAAAGAUAUGCAUCCUGAAAUUUGUCUGAAUAGUGAAAAGCUAGGUUUGAAGAGCAAAUACACUGUGGUUUCUGUAUAUGCAAGGCAAUUCUAUGAGCUUCGGAAGAUAUGUUGCCCAUCCGAGCUUGUGUAUAUUUCAUCCAUAAGCCGUUGUAAACUAUGGAAUGCACAAGGUGGUAAGAGCAAUGCUUUUUUUGCGAAAUCAAUGGAUGACAGAUUUAUCAUAAAAGAAAUCAAGAAAACAGAGUUUGACUCGUUCUUAAAAUAUGGUCUUGAAUAUUUCAAGCAUUUUAGUGAAUCUCAAGUCUCAAGUAACCCUACUUGCCUUGCAAAAAUUCUGGGAAUAUAUCAGGUCAAAGAAAUUAGGAAUGGCAAGGAGGCAAGGACUAGUUUCAUGAUUAUGGAGAAUCUUUUAUUUGGCCGUAACAUACUGCGUAGAUAUGAUCUGAAGGGUGCUCUUUUCUCACGAUAUGUUGCUGAUUCAACAAAUCCAGAAAGUGUACUGUUGGAUCAAAAUUUUAUUGAAGACAUGCGUACCAUGCCUAUCUACAUUAAAGGAAAAACCAAAAACUUCAUGGAACGUGCUCUUUGGAAUGAUACAUCCUUUCUAUGUAACAUGAAUGUCAUGGAUUACUCCUUGUUUGUUGGAGUGGACAAACAGAAGAAGGAACUUGUAUUCGGGAUAAUUGAUUACUUGAGGCAGUAUACCUGGGACAAACAACUGGAGUCGUGGGUGAAGACAUCGCUUGUUGUCCCCAAGAAUCUAUCUCCAACAGUAAUCUCUCCGAAGGAGUAUAAAUUAAGAUUCAGGGCAUUUAUGUCUCAGUACUUCAAAUCAGUUCCAGAUGGUUGA